AUUGAACGCUGGCGGCAUGCUUUACACAUGCAAGUCGAACGGUAACAGGCCGCAAGGUGCUGACGAGUGGCGAACGGGUGAGUAAUGUAUCGGAACGUACCUUUCAGUGGGGGAUAACGUAGCGAAAGUUACGCUAAUACCGCAUAUUCUGUGAGCAGGAAAGCAGGGGAUCGCAAGACCUUGCGCUGAUUGAGCGGCCGAUAUCAGAUUAGCUAGUUGGUGAGGUAAAGGCUCACCAAGGCGACGAUCUGUAGCGGGUCUGAGAGGAUGAUCCGCCACACUGGAACUGAGACACGGUCCAGACUCCUACGGGAGGCAGCAGUGGGGAAUUUUGGACAAUGGGGGCAACCCUGAUCCAGCCAUGCCGCGUGAGUGAAGAAGGCCUUCGGGUUGUAAAGCUCUUUCGGCCGGGAAGAAAUCGCAUAGGUUAAUACCCUGUGUGGAUGACGGUACCGGAAUAAGAAGCACCGGCUAACUACGUG
rnacentral:rRNA from 1 species